AUUGAACGCUGGCGGCAGGCUUAACACAUGCAAGUCGAGCGAGCGGCGGACGGGUGAGUACUGUAUGGGGACUGCCCGUUAGAGGGGGAGAACUACUGGAAACGGUAGCUAAUACCGCAUACUAUCGGAUAACCCAUAUGGGAUUGGCUAGUAGGUGAGGUAAUGGCUCACCUAGGGGACGAUCCCUAUCUGGUCUGAGAGGAUGAACAGCCAGACUGGAACUGAGAAACGGCCCAGACUCCUCCGGAGGCAGCAGUGGGGAAUAUUGCACAAUGGGCGCAAGCCUGAUGCAGCCAUGCCGCGUGUAUGAAGAAGGCCCUAGGGUUGUAAAGUACUUUCAGUCGGGAGGCGUUACCGGCAGAAGAAGCACCGGCUAACUCCGUGCCAGCCGCCGCGGUAAUUC
rnacentral:rRNA from 1 species